UAGAGUUUGAUCCUGGCUCAGAACGAACGCUGGCGGCAGGCCUAACACAUGCAAGUCGAGCGAGACCCUCGGGUCUAGCGGCGGACGGGUUAGUAACGCGUGGGAACGUACCUUUCUCUACGGAAUAGUCCCGGGAAACUGGGUUUAAUACCGUAUACGCCCUUCGGGGGAAAGAUUUAUCGGAGAGAGAUCGGCCCGCGUUAGAUUAGGUAGUUGGUGGGGUAAUGGCCUACCAAGCCUACGAUCUAUAGCUGGUUUGAGAGGAUGAUCAGCAACACUGGGACUGAGACACGGCCCAGACUCCUACGGGAGGCAGCAGUGGGGAAUCUUGCGCAAUGGGCGAAAGCCUGACGCAGCAACGCCGCGUGGGGGAAGAAGGCCUUCGGGUUGUAAACCCCUGUCAGGAGGGACGAAGCCACCUGCGUUAAUAGCGUAAGGGGUGACGGUACCUCCAAAGGAAGCCCCGGCUAACUACGUGCCAGCAGCCGCGGUAAUA
rnacentral:rRNA from 1 species